GGGAGCUGCGGUGAUUGAUCAGUUAUAC
rnacentral:sRNA from 1 species